AGAAUCAACGCUGGCGGCGUGCCUAACACAUGCAAGUCGAACGCGAAAGCCCCGCAAGGGGUAAGUAGAGUGGCAAACGGGUGAGUAACACGUGGGUGACCUGCCUUCGAGUGGGGGAUAACGUUCCGAAAGGAACGCUAAUACCGCAUAAUAUCCUGCCUUUUAAGAGGUGGACAUCAAAGCUGGGGACCGCAAGGCCUGGCGCUUGAAGAGGGGCCCGCGCCUGAUUAGCUAGUUGGUGGGGUAAUGGCUCACCAAGGCAUCGAUCAGUA
rnacentral:rRNA from 1 species